UGUCAGUGCCCGUCCCAGACAGCUUGUCAUUAAUUCUGCCUUUGAAAAAUUCACUGAUUGGACAAGUGGGAGCCUAAACUUUGCUUAACAUUAACUGUCCUUGUGUCCCCUGUGCUUUGAAACCUUGGAGCCACUGUUUUGGAAUGAAAAGCAGCACUUUGGCUCUCCUCAGCCCUCAUUCUGUAACUUGAAGUCCCCAUUCAUCUCCCAUUUCUGCUCUGGAAUGACAUGGGGGAAGUGCUGGGAUGUCAGGAGUAAUUGCUUUUUUGUUAAUGUGUGCCUGGCUCUGUUGUAGAAUAACUCAAAAUUAAAAUUCAGCCUUGCUUGGAGUGCCAGGCUCCCAACUAUCACAAAACCUUUCAUUAAGGCUGCACACUGCCAACUGAAACAGGUUUUGGCAGGGAAUUGGAAUUCCACACAGGUCUGGCUUGGCUUUUCCCUCCCCAAGUGUUAAAAUACAGAAGCAGUUGUACAUUAGUGUGGAAGACCCAUGAGAAAUACUGCUGUGAGAGGCAGGUCCUGCUGGUAACAGGGUGAGUGGGUGGCCAUUACAUUAAUGCAAUAAAAUGUUGCCCAAAUGUGUAAUUCAGGAUGAAUGACUCAUGUGGGGUCCCCAUCCAGAGCUAAACCUUGGGCUUGACUCGACCUUUCCAAUGCAGCCCCAGCCAAGCACACACUGUGCUCCUGGCACGGAGACGCGGCAGCAAAAUACACCUUAAAUAUCAACACUUCAAGUUUUCAAACAUCACUGUCAUGCUGCCAAUUUAGAGGCAAAUUGGGAGCAGUUUCUUUAGAGAACACAAACCCACGUUGGCAGUGCUGGCAUCGCUGUGGGGGCGUUGCUGCUUUGCAGGCUGCUGCUGUGACUCAGCCUCUUGUUUUGGGACUCGGGCAGGUUCUGCUGACCCUGCUGCAGGCUCACGGCUCUCCAGCAGGGGAUGGGCAGCAGCAAGCCAGGAACGAACCUACCAACAUGCAAGGUUCCCAAAGAUCGCCUUCCAGCAAAUCUAGAAAUCUCUCAGACCUCUGCUCGCUGUGAUCCCAUCCUGAGCUGCCACAGAGCAACACCUGAUCCCUGUGAUGCGCUCUGGUCAGUGCUUCCCAAAAAAACCCAAAUGUUGCUCUUCAUUUGGUCUCCUUUUAGUACAGACCCAGUGAGAAAUGCUUUUGGCAGUAAGGGUGAGUAAAAUUCAUAAUUCCCAGUG
rnacentral:lncRNA from 1 species